UGCAGCCAUGCCGCGUGUGUGAAGAAGGCCUUCGGGUUGUAAAGCACUUCAGUCGUGAGGAAGGUAGUGUAGUUAAUAGCUGCAUUAUUUGACGUUAGCGACAGAAGAAGCACCGGCUAACUCCGUGCCAGCAGCCGCGGUAAUACGGAGGGUGCGAGCGUUAAUCGGAAUUACUGGGCGUAAAGCGCAUGCAGGUGGUUUGUUAAGUCAGAUGUGAAAGCCCGGGGCUCAACCUCGGAAUAGCAUUUGAAACUGGCAGACUAGAGUACUGUAGAGGGGGGUAGAAUUUCAGGUGUAGCGGUGAAAUGCGUAGAGAUCUGAAGGAAUACCGGUGGCGAAGGCGGCCCCCUGGACAGAUACUGACACUCAGAUGCGAAAGCGUGGGGAGCAAACAGGAUUAGAUACCCUGGUAGUCCACGCCGUAAACGAUGUCUACUUGGAGGUUGUGGCCUUGAGCCGUGGCUUUCGGAGCUAACGCGUUAAGUAGACCGCCUGGGGAGUACGGUCGCAAGAUUAAAACUCAAAUGAAUUGACGGGGGCCCGCACAAGCGGUGGAGCAUGUGGUUUAAUUCGAUGCAACGCGAAGAACCUUACCUACUCUUGACAUCCAGAGAACUUUCCAGAGAUGGAUUGGUGCCUUCGGGAACUCUGAGACAGGUGCUGCAUGGCUGUCGUCAGCUCGUGUUGUGAAAUGUUGGGUUAAGUCCCGCAACGAGCGCAACCCUUAUCCUUGUUUGCCAGCGAGUAAUGUCGGGAACUCCAGGGAGACUGCCGGUGAUAAACCGGAGGAAGGUGGGGACGACGUCAAGUCAUCAUGGCCCUUACGAGUAGGGCUACACACGUGCUACAAUGGCGCAUACAGAGGGCGGCCAACUUGCGAAAGUGAGCGAAUCCCAAAAAGUGCGUCGUAGUCCGGAUUGGAGUCUGCAACUCGACUCCAUGAANUNGNA
rnacentral:rRNA from 1 species